rnacentral:rRNA from 1 species
AUACGUAGGUGGCAAGCGUUGUCCGGAUUUAUUGGGCGUAAAGCGAGCGCAGGCGGUUUCUUAAGUCUGAUGUGAAAGCCCCCGGCCUAACCGGGGAGGGUCAUUGGAAACUGGGAGACUUGAGUGCAGAAGAGGAGAGUGGAAUUCCAUGUGUAGCGGUGAAAUGCGUAGAUAUAUGGAGGAACACCAGUGGCGAAGGCGACUCUCUGGUCUGUAACUGACGCUGAGGCUCGAAAGCGUGGGGAGCAAACAGGAUUAGAUUCCCUGGUAGUCCACGCCGUAAACGAUGAGUGCUAAGUGUUGGAGGGUUUCCGCCCUUCAGUGCUGCAGCUAACGCAUUAAGCACUCCGCCUGGGGAGUACGGCCGCAAGGCUGAAACUCAAAGGAAUUGGCGGGG